GAAAUAUCCGUCGCUAGGCCUUUAAUUUUUCUAGAAAAAAAUAUAUAUUUGCAGCAACGGAAAAUUUUGUCGCAAUAUUAACUAUUAAAAGAAAUCAAUGUAUUAUUUAGCGACGGAUUGUAAAAUCCGUCGCUAUUCCGUCGUUAAAUGUAAAAAACAAAAGAUAUCUCCUAGCUAGGUUACGCAUUCUUUCAUUUCCAACACAGUAGCCAACACGGAUAGAGAGAUAGACUGUGCGAAAUUGGUAACAUAGAGAGAGAGAGAGCACAACAUAGAUCAAAAUAAUGUGAAUCUAGGGUUUACAUUGUGUUUUUCUCUUCUUCUACUGCAAUUUUUAUCUAAAGGAAAGCUCCAGAUUUGAAUGUUCCAUUCCAAGUUGAAGAAGUUGAAGUCCACGAGAUAGAUAUGAAUGUUUCGAUUGAUGAAAAUAUACUCUUAUAUGAUCCAAACGGGAAUGCAAUUGUAAUGGAUGAACCCAUCGAUGAUAGGUUAUUGCCGUAGCAUCAUGAAAUCCAAAAUGAAUCUACGGAAGAAGAGUUUGAAAUCGAAGAAGAGUAUGAAAGCGAAGAAGAGUAUGAAACGAGAUAGGAAACUACGGAGGAUGAGGAAGAGUUCGAAGAAGGAACAGAUAGUGACUAAUGCUUAGUAACAUGUGUUGUUGUAUCUUUAUUGUAUUUUGCUUAAGAUUUGGGUGUAAAAAUUUUCUGAUGGAUGGUUGAGUGUUUUGAUUUGCACCACAGUUUUUCUUUAUUGUUUUCUUUAACCUAUUUUACCACUUUCAUCAUUACUUACUGAAUCUUGUAGUGUACUAUGCGACUAUGUUGUUUGAUAAAUGCCAUUAUAGUUUUAGUUCAACCUUUGAUAGAAUCCUCCUGAUGUUAUUUAUAUUACAGAUACGUAGUGGACAGCUGGUCAGAAUUCAUUGACGUGCUACUCAUUGAAGGUUCUGCAUUUUAGCUGUUGUUGUUGAGGAAAGAUAUCAAGAAAUAUUACGGGAAAAAUCACAGUCUCAGUCUGAUAUUGAUCAAUGUGAAGCAUAUUACGAAGCUGCUGGGGGAACAAGGAAGAGAAGAAUAUAUGGUCUUGGAUCUCAAGCACAAAGUUAUUAUGGGCCAAAUCUUUGCGUCAAUUUUGCCUUUAAUGCUUCAGCAUCAGCAGCACCUUCAACUUCUCAAUCAGCACCUACAGAAAAUAUGGAGGAGUUAGUGAUGCGAUUGAUUCCUACACCGAUUGAUCGCUUGCUUCCUUUAUUUAUUGAGAAGGCACGCGGAGUGAUUUCUUCACCAUCACAUCAUCCAAAUACUCCUGUCGACAAACCAUCAGUUGUGACACCCAUAGUGCCUCCUCCUACUACUGCCAACGUUGACGAUGUUGAUCCUUUAGUUUCUGAUGGUGAUCGUAGUCCUUCACCCAUGCAUUAGUUUUUUAUGUUAUCCGCUUUUUGUUGGAAAGAACAAACUUAUGCACUAACAAUACUUGAUGGAUGUGUGGGUUCUUUUGGUAGUUGAUAGCUUGGUGUUGUCGGUGUUUUGGACUUAACGAUUGAGAUUUCGCUAUCUAUUUUGAACUUUUUUUAUAAAUAUUAUUUUAUGUGAA